rnacentral:rRNA from 1 species
UACAGAGGUCCCGAGCGUUGUUCGGAUUCAUUGGGCGUAAAGGGUGUGUAGGAGGUUGGGUUAGUCAGACGUGAAAUCUCACCGCUUAACGGUGAAACUGCGUUUGAUACUGCCCGACUAGAGGAUCGGAGGGGGAAGCGGAAUUCUUGGUGUAGCAGUGAAAUGCGUAGAUAUCAAGAGGAACACCGGUGGCGAAGGCGGCUUCCUGGAAGAUUCCUGACUCUGAAACACGAAAGCUAGGGGAGCAAACGGG